UUGCUCAUUGUCUUGGGACGCCAAACAGGUUUCCUGUGGGGUGUUACCAAGUUGAGUUCCUUGACCUCUAAAAUGAUCUUAAGGUGUCUUGACCUUUGUGCCUUAUUCUUGUUUGCUUUUAUUCUCAAGUGCUCUCACACACUAUCUCACGCUUUCCAUUGGCUUUUUAUGCGCCAAUAAAACGUACACUUGAGCUUGAAGUCACUCAUUCAGCACAUCAGCCAAGAUGCAUUUCUUUCUUUUUAGAUUUUUCCUACGUUGACUUUUACAUGCUUGCUAUUGUUCCAAAGAGGCUGAUUGGACGUGGUUAUGACGUGCCGUCAGGUCCUGGUUCCAGAUCAAACACACCAGCAGCUGUCGUUGGCUUCGACCGAGGUUUGGCUGACCAACGGCGUCUCUCGUCGCCUUUCAAACAACAGACAUUAUCUUCAUCGGCACGUCGGCCGCCCGGGAGGCCUGCGGAGCGCACGGCUGGGUAACACCUGUCCCCUCAAAAGGGGAAGGGCUGAGAAGCUACGAAAAUGUGACAGUAAGACAAACACAGCGAGGGCUCAAAGCGCUCUCGCCGCUCGGUGCGGCGCAGCUGAGAGCCAUCCAAGCCGCUGAUGGACUUUCCAGCCAAUCUCUUCUCCACUUUCCACCACCCUGCCAACGAGCAACAAAAACCCCGGUCUCUUUCCUGGCGCUGACCGCGACCCCGGGCGGGGGGGCGAUCGGAGUCGAACCCAACAUUAGAGCUGCACCGUACGUGUCAGCCGAUGAUGGAGCCAAGCAGCUAAUUCUCCGCCGUGCCGCCCUCCGACGUGUCCCGCGCGUAACCUCGCCGGGACGGGCCUCCGCGUUCGGCGCGCCUGGAGCUGUCGCCGCACGCCACCGCCACAACACGCUGCCUUAUAAAGACAGGUCACAUUUCAGUCAAAGUCGAGGAGCGGCUGACCUCAGCUGUCCCGUGAGCCGCACCCUGUGAGCCGCUGGAACUGCUGACAGGGAUGACAUCAUCACGGUGAUACCAGUCAGAGGCGCUUGUUCGCAUGUAAGACGCCUCCUUUUUGUUGGCUCAUUUCAGAUGAAGAGAUCGAUUUAGUCAUUUCGGAAAAAAACAGAUGUUAGUUGGUCAUCUGUUAUGUUUUCGAGAAAAGCAGCUGAUGAGAUGUCAUUUGGAGUCAUGCGAUUUGAUCAACUCAACCAGGAAGAGUUCCACUUUUUAUGAGCAAUUUUGUUUGUCAUAUCAUCGACAAUAUACAACUGGCGGAGCUAGAAGGGGGGUGCAAGGGGCACUUCCUCCCCCAUAGGGAAACAUAUAUUGAAUCUUUAUCAGUGUUUUCU